rnacentral:rRNA from 1 species
GAUGAACGCUGGCGGCGUGCCUAAUACAUGCAAGUCGAGCGAACGGACGAGAAGCUUGCUUCUCUGAUGUUAGCGGCGGACGGGUGAGUAACACGUGGAUAACCUACCUAUAAGACUGGGAUAACUUCGGGAAACCGGAGCUAAUACCGGAUAAUAUUUUGAACCGCAUGGUUCAAAAGUGAAAGACGGUCUUGCUGUCACUUAUAGAUGGAUCCGCGCUGCAUUAGCUAGUUGGUAAGGUAACGGCUUACCAAGGCAACGAUGCAUAGCAGACCUGAGAGGGUGAUCGGCCACACUGAAACUGAGACACGGUCCAGACUCCUACGGGAGGCAGCAGUAGGAAAUCUUCAGCAAUGGGCGAAAGCCUGACGGAGCAACGCCGCGUGAGUGAUGAAGGUCUUCGGAUCGUAAAACUCUGUUAUAGGGAAGAACAUAUGUGUAAGUAACUGUGCACAUCUUGACGGUACCUAAUCAGAAAGCCACGGCUAACUACGUG